UCCGUAGGUGAACCUGCGGAGGGAUCAUUACAGAGAACAUCGCCCGCAAGGGUGACUCUCCAACCCUAUGUUAAUUAUACCUUUGUUGCUUUGGCGAGCCGCUUCGGCCACCGGCUCACGCUGGUGAGCGCUCGCCAGAGGACCCUAAACUCUGUUUAUACAUGUCGUCUGAGUACUAUAUAAUAGUUAAAACUUUCAACAACGGAUCUCUUGGUUCUGGCAUCGAUGAGGAACGCAGCGAAAUGCGAUAAGUAAUGUGAAUUGCAGAAUUUAGUGAAUCAUCGAAUCUUUGAACGCACAUUGCGCCUCUUGGUAUUCCGAGGGGCAUGCCUGUCCGAGCGUCAUUAUGACCACUCAAGCCUGGCUUGGUGUUGGGUGUUUGUUCCGCCUCAGCGCGUGGACUCGCCUUAAAUUCAUUGGCAGCCGGUAUGUUGGCUUCGUGCGCAGCACAUUGCGUCGCGAUUCUGGCAGGCCUCCUCCCAUUAAGCUUCUUUUAAGUUUGACCUCGGAUCAGGUAGGGAUACCCGCUGAACUUAAGCAUAUCAAUAAGCGGAGGA
rnacentral:rRNA from 1 species